GUGCUCUCUUCAACAGCACAUAUAUAUAUAAGUUGGAACAAUACAGAGAAGAUUAGCAUGGCCCCUGCACAAGGAUGACACACAAAUUCAUAAAGUGUUCCAUUUUUUU